rnacentral:lncRNA from 1 species
AGCAGAAAUGCAAGUUAUGACUGCUUACAAUACACCCUUACGGUGGGGCCCUUCCCCGAACCCUGCACAUAGCGAGAGCUUUUUAGUGCAUCGGGCUGCCCUUUUACUUGGUUCUUGUCUCAAAAUCCAUCAAAGCAUAGCUAUUCUUGUUUUCUUUCUUGGGUGUACUGCACAACUCUUCUUUUCUGGCUUGUUAAUUUUUCUCUCGAUUUUCCUCAUCAUCCCUUAGUUUCCAAUUUUACUCUUCAAUCUUUUGCUUCUCAAUUUUCAAUAAACUAAGAGUUGCCGGAGCAACAAGCCUAUCUACGUGUUCAACACUUAUUAACUUUGGCUCAGACUUGGUAUUUCUAUUUAAAAAUUCACUUAAUACAUAAUAAUUCAUCAAGAACCUAGGAAGCUAUCUUUUCUAGAAUCUAGAACCUAUAAACUCAAAAUCCUAACACUGCAUCUGCUAAGAGUCAUUUCAUUAUCUCAGCCACGCAACAGCUGACUACAGUCCCACUCUAAUUUCACUUCUUCUCAUACAUAUAAUAAUAACAACUUAAUGAAUCAAUCAAUAAUCAACUAAAUCUCAAUCUUCAACACGAUGACCUCACUUGCAUGGGCGGAGCUAUGGUACCACAAGGGGUUCAUCCAAGCCUCCUUCGUAAAAAAAUUACAGUGUAUAUAAAAGGUCAAAGUUAUCUUCUUAGUCAAAGUUAUCUUCUUACGUUUAAUCUUUUAUAUUUUGAAUCCCCUUAGUAAAGAACAGAUAAAAUUGAUUGAUGUUUUUCUAAGAGUCAACUUACUACCACACCCUCUCCUGUUUUUCCUUCUUUUAACAAGAAUCUCUUCCUCUUCAUAAUUAUUUUUGAUAAUCGUGGUAUUCAGGUCAUUUUAGGCGCACCUUGACUAAUUCCACGAGACAUCUGUUACUUCCCACCAAUAAUAUCUAGACUAAUUCCAUGAGAUACCGGCCGUUGUCACCUCCCAUCUAGACUAAUUCCACUCUCCUCUUUUUCCUCCUUUUAACAAAAACCGUUUAUGUUUCAUCUUUUGUUUGUUUCGAGAAAUCUAUUGAUCAAUUUCAAUUCUUUCUUUUUCUCUUGAUUCUUUUCUGAUCGAGAUGUAUAGAUCUUGUUCAUGGAUUAACGAAAAUCAUUCUUGAACAAAAAUCCAUUUUUGAUUUAUUUUAUCUAUUCCAUGACUCUUCAUAAUUUUUUUUUAUAAUUGUGGUGUACAGACCAGCUUGCACCCACCUUGACUAAUUCCACGUAUAUUUGUCACCUCCUAUGAGCAAUACCUAGACUAGUUCCACAUGAUACCUGCUAGCUGCCACUAUCACCUCCCACCUAUACUUAUUCCCCAUGAUACCAGUCACAUCCCAAUCCUAACAGCAACAAGAUCAAUAGAAUAUUUACCACCUCUCACCAGCAACACCUAAACUAAUUCUAGGUUCUAUCUACCAGCUGGAACUAUCACCUCCCACAUGGACUAAUUCCCAGUGAUACCUAGCACAUACCACCAGCACCACAGUACCAGGUAACUCUAGACCAAAUGAAAAGAAAUCACUUGGUUUUUAUCUCUGCUGAAAUUUGAACCAAAGACCUCAUGGCCUCAACCCACUUAAUUGAUCAUUAGGCCACAUUCUUGGAUGUUAUAUUCUUAAAAGAUAUAUUCCCUCUUUCACAAUUUAUGUGAGACAAUUUGAUUUGACACGAAAUUUAAAAAAAUAAUUUGUAGUCUAGGAUAAGUAUAUUUGUGUGUAGGGGUGGGCAUUCGGUAUUCGGUUCGGUAUUUUAAUAAUUCGGGUUUGGUAAUUCGAUAAUCUAUAAAUGAAAGUAGAUACCAAAUACCAUACCAUUAAACUUUGGUUUGGUAAUUUGGUAAUCGGUAAAUUAAAUUUUGGUUCGGUACGGAAUUCGGUAUUACCAUAUUAAAGUCGGACAUGCUUAUAGUGAUCCUAUUUGGUGAUAAUAGUGGUGAUUUCCAACCAACAUUUUGAGAAAAAUUUAAUUUUGUUUGGUAGUUUUACACCUCUGAAUACACAAUUUUACACCAAAAAAAAUUAAUUUUGUUUGGUCUUGUUACAUGUUGAUAUGUGUGGCUCAAAUAAUGAAACACCUUAAAACCUAUGUUAUUACAGUUUGAUCUAGCUCCAAGAAGGGGAGAACUGGAUGUAACACGAAUAACAUUUACAUCAAACUGGAUGUAACACGGACUGAAUGUAAUGAACUAGAUGUAAAUGUGAUGCAAAGUCAUAAUAUUACUUCUCAUAAAUAUGAUGGAGAGCAAUAUAUGUUAUGUUGUCUGCCAAGUGCUGAGUUUUUCAAUAAUUUCCAUCUGUUGUUGACAUGUGAACACAAGGAUUAAGAAGGCUUGACCAAGUCCCUUUGGUUAAAGCCAUAUUCUGACCUAUGUUAGGAAUAUUAGAGCUGGGCAAGUGCAGCCAGCAAUGGUGUUACGUAUCAUGUCAUGAAGACUUCUUUUCCGUUGUUCCCUUCCACGCCCUGAUUUUCAUUCUUAGUGUGAUAUUUUCAUCAAAAGUUGUCACAUGUUGGUUGCAAGGAAGUCAGCUGUGUAAAGUUAAGAGUCCUACUUUAUGUCUAUGUUUAAUAGUUCAAAGUUUGCUUGAGCAAUAUUCACACAAGUAUGCGGCCUUUGGAGUGUGGACUAGGUAUGUGGCCUAUGGGUCACUUAACUAUUAUUGGAUAUUCGAGGAAUACCAAAUACCAAAUGGUAGUAAUAUUUUUUACCAAUCCCAAACCCAAAUAUCAUAAUUUUAAAAUUUUACUCCCAAAUACCAUCCAAAAUACCAAAUUACCGAAUACCAAUUACCAAUUUUUUUGGUUCGGUAGGGUAAUUUGAUUUUUGGUAUUUUAUGCCCACCCUAUUUGUGUGGUAUAAAUCAUUUUCCUAAAGAUUUUAUAAUGUUAAAUUGGUAAAUAUAGAAAUAAGUAACAAGAAAAAAUAAAAUGAAAAGAAGUAUCUUGAUUGCACUUUAAAUUACACAAACUAUAGAUUAUAAAUUAAAAGAAAAAAAGCAUGAAUGAGUUGGGUGUCUUGAAAGUGUACAUUAACAUACCUUGGCUGGAAUUUGAAUGGAAAAAAAAAAUCAAUGUUGAAGAUGAUUCAAUGGAUUAAACUUCUCAGAACUGUAUAAGGAGGUCAAACUAUAGUAGCUGAACUAUUUAUUUGUAAGAAUAGUAGUGUCCAUUUCAUUGUAUAGUCCACCAGCUGCACUUACAUCUUUAAAAUGGAUACAUAUAUAAUGUGUUGUGGUUGGUAAAUAUUCUUUUAUUUUUAGUGAAAUGUGUUGGGUUCGAAUAUUUUUGUGUGGUUUAUCCUAAUAAUAUGAACUCCUCGAUUCGAAUUUGAAUUUAAUUAAAUUUUAAUAUGAAUAUCGAUUAUUGAGAAAAAUAGAAAAAAAAUGAAUGCAUAUCAAAUCAAUGAGGUAUUGUGAUGAAGUGGUAAGUAUUCUUUUAUUCUUAAUCAGAUAUAUUGGAUUUGAGUAUCUUGAGUAUGAAAUGUCUUUGUUAAGAAUCUUUUAUCCUAGUGUGAAAUUUUCCAAUGUGAAUUUAAAUUUUGCCAGAUCCCUAGUAUAAACAACAUAAAUUUCUUCCUUAAGGAAACCAAUUACAUGAUAUCCCUUACGCUCUUUCUCUCUCCCGGUUUUGAAAAAAAUACAUAUACAUGUCACUAUAUCCUCAUACGUUACGCCAAUAUAUAAUGAAACUGUUUGUCCUAUAUUUAUGAAAACAUAAUAUCAGAUUUCAUUAUUCAAUGGCUUAAUUGACGGCAUUAAUAGAUGUUGUAAUUUAUUGGAUGCUUAAAAUUAGUAACUGAAAUUCAAAUUCAAAACUUCACAACAAUAUUUUGUUUUUGGAAUUUCUAUUUGGGAUAGAAACUGGAAAAAAAACAGUAGACAUCUUCUUUCACUUUUUCCCAAAAUCAAUAUGAACAUCGUUGUAUUGCUACGUCAUUCAGGUUAUUGGCAGUCAAAAAUUCUGUAUGAAGAAUACAAAAGUGACGGAAUUGUGGUUUUCGAAAGUAUAUCAUUCUUGAAAUUGAUUUCGACAAUUGCUACGGAAUUGGAUAUUGAUGAAUGUCGAAAAAAAAAAUCAAGUAAAGUACAUUAUUGAAGGUAAUUCCUCUCCAAUUAUUAUAAGGAAUGAUAAUGGAGUGCGAGUAUAUAUUGAGUUGAAGAAAAUUUUUUUAGGUUUUGUUAAUUAUUCAUUGUGUAUUACAAAGUUUGACAAGUCCAAUAAGGAGAUUGAUUUUGAUCGUGAAAAUGGUUUUGUUCUCUGUGUUGAAGGAACUAAAUCUGAUGCUUUUGCGUUAAGGGUAUUUGAAAUGCAAAAUCAGUAUUCGUUAUACGUUCUAGAAUUUGAAGUGAAAAACUUCGUCACUGAUUGCAAGAACACAGAAAUAAAAGUGAAUUACUUGUAUAAGGAUAAACAAACUCUGGUUGCGGUAAUGGCAAAAUAUGCAUUAGCGAAUGGCUUCAACACCAAAGCUAAAUGAUCUGACAAACAAAGGUAUGAACUGAUAUUAGUCUUAAUUUUGUUGAAUGUGCAUAAUUUCAUUAAAAAUUUACAAAACAUUAAUAGGAAUUGCAGUUUUUUGUAUUAUAGCUGUUGAUUUUUGUCAAUUUUUAAUUGGUAUGUAUUGGAUAUUAUACAUUGAAUAAAGAUAGGAAAUUUAUUUGUUAAAGACCUUACAGAAGUUUUUUUUUUGUGUUACUGAGGUUAAUGUAAUUACUAUUGUAUUGGAUGUUCCUAUACUUAUGAAACAUGUAGAAAUCUGGGAUUCUAAUGUAUAAUAACUCUUCAUACAUGUAGAUUUAUGUAUGAUAAAAUAUUUUGAUAUGAUAUUUAUAUCAUCAUACAUUGUAUCCAUGAUUAUUUUUUUUAUGCAGCUAUCCCUGCACUGUCGUAACAAAGGCUGCAAACGAAUACUGAAGGUGUCUUGUAUGAAUGAAUCAGAUAUUUUUCAGAUUCAUCGAUUUAAUUCGAAACAUACUUGUCGUCUUAGUGAUAGAGUGUUGAAAAACUUGAUUGCUACAACAGCUUUUGUAUGUGAAUUUACAACACCAAAAUUAGUUAACCACAAGAGAAAAUAUACAUCGGCGGACAUAAUUGCAGAGAUAAAGAUCGUGUAUGGAGUUGAUAUUAACUACAAAAGGCAUAACGCGCAAAAGAGAAGGCAAUUGCGAUGCUUAGAGGUGGUCCAGCUGAUGGAUAUCGAAAAAUACCGCGAUAUGUUUUAAUGCUAAACCAAGUGUACCCAGACUUGCACAUUAGGUUGCAUAAAGCAUUUGAUAAUGAGUUUAAAUACUUGUUUAAUGUCUUAAAUCCCAUGAUAAGGGGUUUUUAGUUUUGACGGCCUGUUGUAGUUGUUGAUGAUGCCCAUUUAAGCAGACCAUAUCAAGGAACCUUUCUAUCGGCAAACACAUUUGAUGGUGCAGACAUUAUUCUUACCUUUAUGUUAACUCUUUUAGCGUUUGCAUAAGUCUAUGUGUCUAAUGUUUUCAUACAUUUCUCAAUUAUGUAUAAGGAACUAUAUAGAUGUUGGAUCAGAACCUAUUUGUUUUACAUUCAAAUAAUUGAACCUAUUUGUUUUACAUUCAAAUAAUUAAUUUUUUUUACUAUUAAUUCUUUGGUAAAAAUUAGAUUGUAUUUUUUCAUUAGCUUAUGGGGUUGUGGAUUCCGAGAAUGAUAGUACAUGGACAUGAUUUUUCAAUUAGUUUAGGGAAGUAUUUGACGAACGGGAUAACAUGUGUGUUGUAUCGGAUCGUAAUGAGAGUAUCAUAAAAUAUUUGAGCAUUGUGUAUCCUAAUGUACUGCAUUUAGCUUGUAUCUGGCAUUUAUGAAAAAAUAUUUGCACAAAUUUUAAAAAAAGCAAAGAUAGACUUAGUGACCUUUAUUAUUCUAUGGCUAACGUAUAUAGGAAAGAAGAUUUUGGUUAUAUUAUGCCAAAGGUUACUAAGAUUGAUCAUAGGGUUAAGGAAUACCUUGAAGAAGCUGGAUAUGAAAAAUGGUCUCGAUGUCACUCACCUGUUAAUAGAUGUAGAAUGAUGACUCUAAUAUAGCCGAAUGUAUUAAUGGUUGCUAGGUAGAGGCUAGAGAACUUCCUAUUCUAGAAUUUCUUGAAGAAGUUAGAAUUUUUAUUUGUGGCAUGAAAUUGUAAGAACUGUGAAAUUGCAUUAUACACCAACACAACAUCAGGGAGAAGAUUUGAAGACAUUCUGACUUUUAAUGGGGCGAAGGCUUAACGGAUGACCGUAUGUAUUUGAAUAUUUAUGAAAAUAAUUUUUUGAAUUCAUUAUUAUUUUUUAUUUUACCAUAAAUAUUUAUUCAUUUGUGUCUAACAGGUUAAGGUAACUGUAAGUUAUCUUUACUGUGUUUAUGAAUUCGAAAGGAAGUACAUUGUCAAUAUUGAAUGUGGCACGUGUAAUUGUGAUCAGUAUCAAAUUGAUGAAAUUCCAUGUCCACACGCAAUUGUUGUAUUGAAGAGUGAAAAUGUAGAAGAUUAUGGUCUUUGCUACUCAAAAUUUUACUUGUCAAAAAUCAUUGUUAAGACGUAUGAACUUUCGAUAGUUCUAAUGCCAGGCAUGAAGGAUAGGAAUAUUCCUCAAUAUAUAGAAGAUGAAGAAAUGGUACCAUCCAAAUUCAGAAGACCUUCAGGUAGACAAAAGGAAGGCAUAUGAAAUCAAGUUAAUCACUUUCUUCAAACUCAAACUGUUGUGGUAAAUGCAGACGUGCAGGUGACAAUCGAUGUAUGUGUGGAUUUUUUCCAAAGAAAACUUGAAAAGGAUAAUUUGAUUAUCAAUGUUAUGUCAUGUAUUUUGGUUCUGUUUGAUAAAACAGAUUAUGGUGUUCAUUUAGUCAAUCUGGAAAAUUUCUGAACUAUCUUUAAGGUUUUUUCAAGUUCAACUCUUAAUUAUAAUUUGAGAUUGCUAGUUCAUGUUUUUAAUUAUCCGUUUGUGAGAUUUGUAGUUCUAAGGUACGUAAAUGUUUAAAAUGACUGACUAUUGUGUGUACGUAAAAGGGGUGGAAGAUAGGGAUAGUAUGUACAUUUAAUUAUCUUUUGGACAUGUCUAUAAGUUGAAUCAUACGUAAAUAUGUUGAACUGUUAUUUUGUAAAUUGAGUAAUCAAAAUACGUGUAUAAGUUGUUUAACACAUAAAUAUUUUUUAUAUAAGACUGUUGUUUCCUACUUUACGUUAUAAAACUAAGUAUAUGAUGGUAUGUUAUACAUGUAGUUCAAUGUAUGAAGACAUGAGAAAUGUAUAAUAUUUUUAUAUUGUAUAGGAAGUAAAAUAUCAAAAUGUGAAAAAAUGUACCGACGUAUAAUCACAUGUGUAAUGUAUUAUGCAUUUAAUGUUUGAGCUUUAAAUAUCUAAUGCUUUAUUAUUUGUUAUACAUUACAUAUAACUGACAGUUUAAAGUAUAUUAGUUUCUUAUACUAUAAUUAUAAAUGACAAUUUAAUCUAAUAGCUGCAAACUGAGAUAAUAUUUGUACACAUGUAUGCAUAAGGUUUAAUUAAAUAAUGGUAUUAUAAAGAUUUGAUUUUACAAUGAUAUUAUAAUUGUAUUUUAUAUUUAAUGUAUAAUAUCGUAUAUUUAAGUUAUAUAAAAUGUAUAAAUAUUGUUCUGACGUUUGAGAAGCACCAAUUCAAUAGAUUUUACGUUCUUCCAAUACACAUAAUGAAAACCAUAAACAUGACCGUGAAAAAAAAUGGUUUUAAGUAUAUAUAACUUACGUAUGUAUAAGCAGUUCCAACAGAUCCAAAAAAUUAAAAUUCAAAUAAACAUAAAAAACUGACAAGUGAUGUAAUUCUUUAACAUCCAUUACUAAAAUAAGAAUUAGAAGUUUCCAUGCUGAAUGGUUAAAAAAGUGUGCUACUCUAAAGUAACUAUAGCACUUUCAUUAAUCAAUUGGAGAUAACUACUCUUUGGCCGCGGAAGAUAGUUAUUUUCACUUGUGUAUCCUUUCAUUGUCUUGGUUACUCCAUAAUUCCAUAGUAAAGAAGCAUAGCGUACAUGUUGAGUUUGUGUGUCUUUUUAAGAAUAACUUUUCUUUGUUGUAUGUUAAGGUUAAUUGUGUAUGUUCUAUAUUAUAUGGUUUUACUUGUUCUAACCAUUUUAUUCCUAAUAUUAUAUCUGCUUUUUGCAUUUCUUCCUUUACAUCGAAUUCUAUUUUUAUUUUCCUAACUCCUAUUAUUAUUUCUUUUUCUACUAUAUUUUUAUUAUUUAUUAAACUUCUUGGUAGGUCUGGGCACAAAUAAAUCUAUUUCAUACGUCAGAUAUCCGCACCCCCCUACAAAUGGUAUCAAAGCCCAUGGUAUCAAAAAAUACGGAAGUGAGAUAUAUGUUAGAGUUAUUAGAAUUUACCUAUAAAUUAUUAAAUUAAUUAUGCGAAGACCAUUUAAAAAUAGAGAAGCUUUUAGAAAAAUUAAAGAAUCUUUAAUUAGUAAUUAUUCAGAAUAUAUAAGUCUAAAUAAAACAAAAGAAAAUCCACAAAAAUUAGCCUACUUAAUUACAUUAAUAUCUAGUAUUGAAUCAAAAUUAAUAACACAUUUAAAAUCCAGAAGAAUGAAACACAUACCACCUAAUUAUGAUAAAAUUAGAUUUAGAUAUCAACCAAGAUAUUAUAAAUAUAAUUUAAAAUGAAUAAGGUACAACAAUACAAAGAAUUAAAACAAAUUAUCUCUGAAAAACGUAAAGAAUUAAAAAUAAGAAUAAAAAGACUACAUUAUAAUAUAUUUGCCGGAGUUAGUAAAAAUUCAAUAGAUACACAAAAAGAUGAAAUAUCAAAAUUAGAAUCACAAAUAGAUAGUUUAGAAUAUGUAUAUCAACAUGACCUAUUCACAAUAAAAUGAAUAAAGAAGAAUUUAUAAUAGAUGAAAAAAUAUAUGAAAACUACGAAGGAUCAAAAAUAAAAAUAGUAUUUUCUAAUCUAGGACGAAGAUAUAAGAAAAUAGGUGAACAUUUAUAUCUAAUGUUAGAAAAAGAAGAAUUAAAAUUAGAAGAUAAAUUAACAGCAAUGGUAAGAAUAGAAAAAGAAAAUGAAGAGAUAGAUAGGAAAAAAGAAAUAGAAAAAAUAAAACAACAAACUACGGAAGAAAUACGAAAAAUAGAAGAAACCAAAAAUAGUAGAAUUGCUGAAUUAGAAAAAGAAUUACAAAUGUUAAAAGAACUGUAUGAACAAAGACAAAAAGAAAAAGAAGAAAAAGAUAGAGAACAGAAAUUACUAAAUGAGAUAAAUCAAUUUAAGGAAAAAUUAGAAAUAAAAAAUGAAGAAUUAGAAAUAAAUAAUAUAGAUAUUGAAGAGACAGAUAAUUAUGAGUCCGAAGAUAGUGAAACAUACACAGAAAUAUUAACAAAUACAAAAAAUUUAGAAAUCAAUGAAGAACAAAAAAUUAAUGAGGAAAACUUAGAAAAUACCCACACAGAAAUAAAUACUCUUGAUAAAAAAGAAAAUGAAAAUAUAAUACCUAAAACAACAGAAAUAAGAAAACCUAUAUACCAUAAGAAUAAGUUUAAAAAAUAUAAUGAAUAUGAUAAAUGGAUACCAAAACAAAUAGUGAAUAAAAAUUAUAACUUUUUAGAUCUAGACUGUGUAAUAGAUACAGAAAAAACAAUACAAUUAUGGAUAGGAUAUAUGACAAAACAAUUAUUAGAUAAUAAUAUAAAUAUAACAGAUGCACCGGAAUAUAUAGAAAAAACACUAAUAGGAUCAGUAAAACUAUGGUUUGCAAAUCUAACCGAAAAUAGCAAAAAAGUAUUAAGAACUAAUAAACCUAUAGAAGGAACAUCAUCGACAACAACUAAACUAACACCUAUAGAAUUAUUAAAAAAAUAUGAAACAGCUAUAAAAGAUGAAUUUGGUAGUACGACAACAAUCGAAGAAGAACAAAAUGAAGAAAAAGAUACAAAUAGAAAUUUAAUGUUAAAAUUAGCAAUAUGUAAUAUGUGUUAUAUAGAUGAAUAUACUUGCGCAUUUAAAGAAUAUUAUUACAAAGGAGCAUAUAGUAUAGAAGAAAGUAAAGAAAUAAGAAAAUUAUAUUUUAAUAAAUUACCCGAGCCAUUUAGUUCGAAAAUAAUAAAAAGUUGGGAAGAAGCAAAAAUAGUAGAUACGUUAGGAGCAAGAAUAAAAUAUUUACAACAAUGGUAUAGAAACUUAUGUGAAAAAUAUAGAGAAGAAUUAAAAAUGGAAAAAACAUUAAUAAGAAAUUUAGCUUGUUGCAAAAAUAAAAUAGCACCCCAAUUUGGAUGCGAAGAAAGAUAUUAUAAGAAAAGAAAAAGACAUAAGAAAUAUAAGAAAUAUAAAAAAUCAAAAUAUAAAUAUAAAAAACCAAGAAAAAGAUACUAUGUAAAAAAUUAUAAACAUAAAAGACCAUAUAGAAAAAAGAAAUCUAUAAAAGAAUGUACUUGUUAUAAUUGUGGAAAGUUAGGACAUUUAGCUAGAGAUUGUAAAUUACCUAAAAAUCCAAAAAAUAAACAAAUAUCAGAAAUAAAAAUAGAAAAUACCGAAUACAUGCAGAUAGAUUAUAUAGAUUAUGAAUUAGAAAGUGAAGAUAGUAUAUAUGAAAUUUCAGAAAACGAAACAGAUAAUGAAAUAGAUAGCGAAAUAGAUGAAUCAAAUGACUGAAGAAGAUAUAAAAAUAAUAACAAAGGAAGAAUAUUUAAAUGAUGAAGGAACGGAACAAAAAAUAAUAUUUGACAGUAAUAUAUUUGAUGAAAUAAAAGGAAAAGAAUUAGAUUUAAGUGUAGACAAAAUAUUUAAAAUACCAACAAUAAAAAAUAUUUUUACUAGGAAAAAAGAUGAAUAUUAUGUAGUAUGCCAAAAAGAACAUGUAAUAGAUUGCAGAUAUGCAAAAGGAAAAGCUAGUAUACCACUAGUAACAAAAAGAAUAAUUAAUAAAGAAAUAAAUGAUAUAAAAAGUAAAGGAGAUCCAAUAAAAUAUGUACACCUUGGAGGUACAGAGAUAUUAAUAAAAGCAUGUUUUAGAGAAGGAAUAGAUACACCAAUAGAAUUAUAUUUAGCAGACGAUAGAAUUAUAAAACCUAUAGAAAAAAGCAUAAUAACUGCCGUAAAAGGAAAUCUAAUAUACCAAAAAUUUAAAUUUAUAAUAAGUGCAAAUUAUUCAGUAGCAGUAACAGAUAGGAAUAUAGAUAAAUCAUUAGUAUUAUAUUGGAAAAUAUCAGGAAUAGAGUUAACCCCAGGAAGUAAAAUAUUUACAGCAAGAUGUAAAAACCUAUAUGUAUUAACAACAAAACAUAAAAUAACAGGAAAAAAUAAGAUUAACAAAAUACAAAUAGAAAGCCCAUUCGAACAAAUAGUAAAAACAAUAGAUUAUAAUGAUUAUACCUAUAGAGACAUAGAUACAGAAGAAAAUUUAGAAAUAGUAAAUGAUAGAAUAAGUACAACGAAAAGAAUAGCUAAUGAAAAGCCAGAAUCAUCAAGCUCAUCAAAAAGAACAAGUUAUGAAACAAACUCAAUAAGUAAUUUAAACCAAUAUUACAUAACGGGAAAAAUAAAUGAAAAAGAAUAUUUAAUACUUUUGAACACAGGACAAGAAGAAAAUUAUAUAGCAAAAUAUCUAGUAAAAAAUGAAGAAAUAAAAACCGACAAUAAUAUAUGCCCAGACUUACCAAGAAGUUUAAUAAAUAAUAAAAAUCUAGCAGAAAAAGAAAUAAUAUUAGGAGUUAGAAAAAUAAAAAUAGAAUUCGAAGUAAAAGAAGAAAUGCAAAAAGCAGAUAUAAUAUUAGGAAUAAAAUGGUUAGAACAAGUAAAACCAUAUAAUAUAGAACAUACACAAUUAACCUUAACAUAUAACCAAGAAAAGUUAUUCUUAAAAAGAGCCUUAACAUGAAAUGAAGAUACAUGUAUUAAUGAAGAUAGUAGUAGAAGGAUAUUACAGUAGAUAUUAUACGCCUAUGAUAGAUACAGGAGCAGAAGCUAAUUUAUGUAGAUAUAAUUGCUUACCAGAAAGCAAAUGGGAUAAACUAAAAACACCAAUAAUAGUUAAAGGAUUUAAUAAUGAAGGAAGCUUAAUUACUUAUAAAGCUAGGAAUGUAAAAAUACAAGUAUGGGAUAAGAUAUUAACAAUAGAAGAAAUUUAUAACUAUGAAUUAACAUCAAAAGAUAUACUUUUAGGAAUGCCAUUUUUAGAUAAAUUAUACCCACAUAUAAUAACUAAAACAGACUGGUGGUUUACAACACCAUGCAAACAAAAAGUAAGAGCAAAAAGAGUUAAUAAUAAAAUAAGAAAGAAAACUGAUUGGAUAAAAGGAAGUGAAAAAAUUACACAAAAGUUAGAAAAUAUAAACAAUACUGAAGAUACAGUAGAACUAGUAGUAUUUUCGAUAAAUAAAACAGAAAUAACUAUAUUUUCAAUAAAUAAAAUAGAAAUAAUUCAGAAAAAAUUAGAACAAUUAUAUAGUGAAGAUCCAUUAAAAGGAUGGGAAAAACACAAAACUACUAUAAAAAUUGAAUUAAUAGAUAAGAAUAGCAUAAUAACACAAAAACCAUUAACAUAUAAUUUUGAUGAUUUAAAAGAAUUUAAAAUGCACAUAGAUGAAUUAUUAGAAAAACAAUAUAUACAAAAAAGUAAUAGUAAACAUAAUAGUCCAGCAUUUAUAGUAAAUAAACAUAGUGAACAAAAAAGAGGAAAAAGUAGGAUGGUUAUUGACUAUAGAAAUUUAAAUGCAAAAACUAUAACAUAUAAUUAUCCGAUACCAAAUAAGAUAUUAAAAAUAAGACAAAUCCAAGGAUAUAAUUAUUUUAGCAAAUUUGAUUGUAAAUCAGGAUUUUACCACCUAAAGCUAGAAGAAGAAUCUAAAGAAUUAACCGCAUUUACGGUACCACAAGGAUUUUAUGAAUGGAACGUGUUACCAUUUGGAUAUAAAAAUGCACCAGGUAGAUAUCAACAUUUUAUGGAUAAUUAUUUUAAACAAUUAUCUAAUUGUAUAGUAUACAUAGAUGAUAUAUUAUUAUACACCAAAACCAAAGAAGAACAUUUAAAAUUAUUAGAACAAUUCACAGAUAUAAUAGAAAAAUCAGGAAUAAGUCUAAGCAAAAAGAAAGCUGAAAUUAUGAAAAACCAGAUAGAAUUUUUAGGAAUACAAAUAGAUAAAAGUGGAGUAAAAAUGCAACAACAUAUAGUACAAAAAAUAAUAAAUUCGAAAGAAGAAUUAGAUACAAAAAAGAAAUUACAAUCAUUUUUAGGAUUAGUAAACCAAGUAAGAGAAUAUAUUCCAAAAUUAGCAGAAACCUUAAAACCACUGCAGAAAAAAUUAAAAAAGGAUAUAGAAUAUAAUUAUGAUGAAAAAGAUAAAAAACAAGUUCAAAAAAUAAAAUUACUUUGUAGAGAAUUACCAAAAUUGCAAUUUCCAGAUGAAAAUAGAAAAUUUAUAUAUAUAGUAGAAGCAGAUGCAAGUGAAUAUAGUUACGGAGGAGUACUUAAAUAUCGAUAUGAAGCAGAAAAAAUAGAACACCAUUGUAGAUACUACUCAGGUACGUUCAACGAGACAGAAAUAAAAUGGGAAAUAAAUAGGAAAGAAUUAUGUUCAUUAUAUAAAUGUUUAUUAGCAUUUGAGCCAUAUAUUGUAUAUAACAAAUUUAUUGUACGAACAGAUAAUACACAGGUACGCUGGUGGUUAACAAAGAAAAUACAAAAUUCAGUUACAACAAAAGAGAUUCGAAGACUAGUUUUAAAUAUAUUAAAUUUCACAUUUACAAUUGAAGUGAUCAGUACUAACAAAAAUGUUAUUGCAGAUUACAUAUCAAGACAAAGCUACACAGACUGAAAUAGUAGAGGAAGAUACUCUAGAAAAAAUACUUAACACCCUAACUACGCUUUCAAUGAAAGUGGACAGUAUGGGUAAUGAGAUAGAAAAGCUAAAGACUAAUGAAGAUAAACUGAAGUCUAUAGCUACAAAUCAGCUAACUCAGCAAUGUGCAGAGCUAUGUCGAUCGAAAGACAUUAAAAAUCCAGAGCUAGAAGGAGACGUUGGGACACUCCAUAAAACCCAUAACAUUUAUCAAUCUACUUCUGCAGGUACAAGCAAAGGAGUUAAUAGACCAAGAUACCAGAAUGUAAAUAUGAACAAAAUAUUUGAAAAACCAUUUACCCCAAAAGCACAAAAAGACCAUUUAUUCAUACCCCCACAAGUUAACACAUACCGAGACAGCCUAAACCAAGACAAGAAAAUAUACAACUACACAGCCCAAAAAUACAUAGAAAAUAUAUAUAGAGUCCAAACCUUUCUAAACCAUAACCCCAGAGCUACAAAUAUCCAAGAACCAAAUACCAAUUAUAUAACCCAAAAACUACAAGGAUACAAUAAACUGAUAGCACUACCCAAAACUAACCCAAGCCUAGUUAAAACUUGUUUUGACUAUGGACUACUAAAUACCAUAUACACCCAAGACGGAGAAGAGCUAACAGCUAUGGAGGAAUUAUACAAGAUAUUCACUACCUACAAAAGAAUAACAAAAGGAAAUUUAUUUUAUAUAAAGUGUUAUACUGCACCAGCAGAGAUAUUAUAUGACGAAAUAAAACCAGUUAUACAAGUUGUAAAGAUAGGAUUAACAAGAGAUAUGAUUAUACCAGAAGAUAUUUCGCAACAACCGGAGAUACCUAGAAUCGAGAUACCAGAUUUUUAUGCAAAUAAAAGACUUAUUGGACUAGCUACGAUCAUUCAAGAACUAGCAAAUAACUAUGCUAACGGAAACCCAAUAUGGAGCUACUAUUCAAGAGAUCACCAAAUGAUAUAUUCAAAUUCAAAAGAGCUACGACAAGCAGAUAUGGAAGACGUAAGACAAUGGAUACUGACGCUACUUAACCCAGAAAAAAAAAUCUACCGCGCGAGCAAUGAAAAAGGGAUUUAUUUCAGACGGACUGCUAACAAGAUACUGUAAGAUAAUCGGACAUAAAUAUCCAGACCACCAAUGUUCAAGNNNNNNNNNNNNNNNNNNNNNNNNNNNNNNNNNNNNNNNNNNNNNNNNNNNNNNNNNNNNNNNNNNNNNNNNNNNNNNNNNNNNNNNNNNNNNNNNNNNNNNNNNNNNNNNNNNNNNNNNNNNNNNNNNNNNNNNNNNNNNNNNNNNNNNNNNNNNNNNNNNNNNNNNNNNNNNNNNNNNNNNNNNNNNNNNNNNNNNNNNNNNNNNNNNNNNNNNNNNNNNNNNNNNNNNNNNNNNNNNNNNNNNNNNNNNNNNNNNNNNNNNNNNNNNNNNNNNNNNNNNNNNNNNNNNNNNNNNNNNNNNNNNNNNNNNNNNNNNNNNNNNNNNNNNNNNNNNNNNNNNNNNNNNNNNNNNNNNNNNNNNNNNNNNNNNNNNNNNNNNNNNNNNNNNNNNNNNNNNNNNNNNNNNNNNNNNNNNNNNNNNNNNNNNNNNNNNNNNNNNNNNNNNNNNNNNNNNNNNNNNNNNNNNNNNNNNNNNNNNNNNNNNNNNNNNNNNNNNNNNNNNNNNNNNNNNNNNNNNNNNNNNNNNNNNNNNNNNNNNNNNNNNNNNNNNNNNNNNNNNNNNNNNNNNNNNNNNNNNNNNNNNNNNNNNNNNNNNNNNNNNNNNNNNNNNNNNNNNNNNNNNNNNNNNNNNNNNNNNNNNNNNNNNNNNNNNNNNNNNNNNNNNNNNNNNNNNNNNNNNNNNNNNNNNNNNNNNNNNNNNNNNNNNNNNNNNNNNNNNNNNNNNNNNNNNNNNNNNNNNNNNNNNNNNNNNNNNNNNNNNNNNNNNNNNNNNNNNNNNNNNNNNNNNNNNNNNNNNNNNNNNNNNNNNNNNNNNNNNNNNNNNNNNNNNNNNNNNNNNNNNNNNNNNNNNNNNNNNNNNNNNNNNNNNNNNNNNNNNNNNNNNNNNNNNNNNNNNNNNNNNNNNNNNNNNNNNNNNNNNNNNNNNNNNNNNNNNNNNNNNNNNNNNNNNNNNNNNNNNNNNNNNNNNNNNNNNNNNNNNNNNNNNNNNNNNNNNNNNNNNNNNNNNNNGCUUUCUUUAUUUAUAGAACGAAAGAAACAAUCUUUACAUCUUUACAUAAAUAAAAAAACAAAAGCUACUACUAAAAAAGUCAAAAAGACUAUCUAGGUACCUAAAAAGUCUACAUAAAAAUAGUAACUUACAAAAAGUCUACAUAAGAAUAGUAACUUACAAUAAUUACAAUCCUUUUUCCAUAAAGAAUCUAUACAAUAUAUUAUUCUUGUCGUCCGUUGAUUUUGUCGAAUCUGCUAUAUCUCCAUUGUUGCUUCUUAUCUUAUCUUUUUGGCUGGCAUUUUGUCUUCUUGAUUUUUAUUCUAGAUGUACUUCUGGAAUAAUGUUAUCUUCUCCAUUACACCUCGAACAUUGGUGAUCUGGAUAUUUGUGUCCAAUUAUUUUACAAUAGCUUGUCAGUAGUCCGUCUGAAAUAAAUCCUUUUUUAAUUGCUCUUGCGGUAGAUUGUUUUUCUGGGUUGAUUAAUGUCAUUAUCCAUUGUCUGACAUCUUCCAUAUCUGCUUGUCGUAGCUCUUUUGAAUUAGAGUAAAUCAUUUGAUGAUCUCUCGAAUAAUAGCUCCAUAUUGGGUUUCCAUUAGUAUAAUUAUUUGCUAGUUCUUGGAUAAUCGUAGCUAAUCCAAUAAGUCGUUUAUUUGCGUAGAAAUCCGGUAUCUCAAUUCUGGGUAUCUCCGGUUGCUGUGUAAUAUCUUCUGGUAUGAUCAUGUCUCUAGUUAGUCCUAUCUUUACAACUUGUAUAACUGGUUUUAUUUCAUCAUAUAGUAUCUAACCAUAUGAAUGCACUUCCAGUCCUUCACUUAGGAUUUUUGCAUAUGCAGCAACAAAUGCAACAGUACCUGAAAUUAAAAACAAAUAUGAUUUAGCAAUCCGUUCAAAAGUUAAUCAAUGAUUAUACAUGUAAAAAGUACAAACCAAAUGCACUUACAGACUAAUAGACGCUUACUGUGAAAUAUUUUGCACAUAAACAACCUCAAAUGGGUUUUGAUUCAUAAGUUGAGUAUACUAAUCAAGCUUGUCUUUGUAAGCAUCAAGGGUUUCCCAAUCAGUACGUUCUGUCUUUUUAAAAAAUUCAUUGUUUGAUAAGUAGGCAGCAUCACUGUCAAUUUGUGUAUUUCAUUUGAUGGGUCCCUUCUUCUUGUACCUAGUAAUGAGUCGUAGACACGUAUCACUCUCUCCUUCAACACAAUUACAACCAACACCCAGUGAAAUUUUUUCCUGCAGUUAACUAGAACAUAAACCUCAUCGAUCAUAUGCCAUGAUAAAUUCGUAGGACUACACAAUUCAUUAAUUGUGUUGGUAAUUGAUUCUUCAUUUCUAGCCACAAUAUAUGACUAUGCACAGUCUUCUUGCAUAGAGGACUGAACAUAUGACGCUUCUGAAUAAUAUCUACGAUAUCUCUUCUCGAUAUAUAUUUUGAAGAAGCAACUUGUUGUUGUAUAUCUAUAAUUUCCUUCAAGCUGCAGCUUCGAUUUCUUUCUCAAAUGGUAAAAUAUCACAUUUAAAUUCUACACAAUCAAAAAGGAUAAAAUAGAUGAAAAACGAUGAUACCUAACAAUACUAUAUCUAUAUGCAUGACAUACCUAAAAUAAACAUAUUAAAAUAAAGUUGGAUAAUCCGCAUUGAAAGAAAAAAAUUAAAGUAUGAGAAUAAUUUUUACAGUUAAACAUAAGUAUGGUGCUACUGUAUUCGCUUUUAGUUGUCAGGAUAAAUUUGCUAAUUGUUGUAUGAUAAACUAAAAUAAACUAAUUGUAUAAGUAUGUAUUAUACAUGUCUUUCUAUGUAUUACAUCAUACUUAUAUGUAUGAUCUUACACUCCAAAAAUAGUAUGUUGUGUAUGAUAAUGUAUUAUAAUAUACACUAGUGAAUAAGUUCGCGCUUUGCACGAUGUGUAAGACGUUGUUGAAUUUAUAUAUAAAAAAAUUAUAAUAAUAAAAUUUUGAUGAGCUAUUUUAUCGAAUGAAGAUAAAUUAUUGAGAAGAAAGAUACUUAACAUGUAAGAACUCCAACUUUUCAUUCUUGCUUAAAUAUUUUUCAUAAAUAUUACUCAAGUAUUAUAAAUGAUAAUAUUUAUUAGAAAACAUAAUUGGAGGUAAAUCAUAUACUUAAUUCGAGCUUGUCUUACCUAAUUUUAUUUAUUUGUUGUUUUAUACAUAAUGGGUUAAUUAUGUAAAUAAGAAUAUUUAUAGUUAUUGUACUGAUAAGCAAACGUUAUACAUAAUCAAAGUUUUUUUUGUGUUACAUAAGUCCUCUCAUCUGCUAUUAAUUAGAGAAUUUACAUAAGUCCUUUAAUCUUAUCCAUUUUUAUUUAAUUAUUUUUCAUCCAUUUUUAUUUUUAUUUUUCUCCUUUUUUUGCAUUUUUUCCUACUCCAUCCUAUUAAUUUAUCUUAUGUUAAAUUAACUAUUAAAAAUCUAAAAACCUCUUAAUUUCCUCCAUAAUCAAUAUAUCAAUAUAUAUCUAUAAAGGAGAAAGAAGACAAGGAUGAUGUGACACCUCGCUAUGGCCACCAUUCCUAUUUAUCUUUUUUCUUCUUUUUUUAAAUUUUUUCCACCAUUUUUUACAUUGAUCAAUUUGUUUAAUAAAUAAAAAAUUAUUAUAUUUAUUAUAUUCAAUUAUAUCUCAUUAGUUACAAAAAAAUCUCCAUCCAUUUACAUUCUCUAUUUAAGUAACAUGUCCCUUCAACUUUCUUCUAUCAAAUUCUUAUGACUUGAACAAUUUAUAUAUAGGCAAUGGUUUACUCAGAAGACAACAUUGAACUUUGUAGUCAUGAUAAAAAAAAAACUAAAAAUUGAAUCCAUCAAACAUAAAUUCUAAAUCCACCUCUUCGUGGUAAAGCACCAUGUUCUUGAGGUCUUAGACUAAGUAAUCAAGAACAUGUAUAUCACCUCCCUUAGCUUCUAAACAACAAAAAUUUACACCUGCUAGCUGUAUUUAUUUUUUAUUGAAAUUAUAAAUAUCUCCUUUCACUGGAUUUGGUUAAAAAAGUAAAAUCAUAGAGCAAUUAUGCACACAUUUUUUUGUGAAAAUUCUUUUGUCACCUUAUUGUUUUCAUAUGUGGAUUGUGCUAUAUUUCACUACUAUUUUGUUAAAGAGAAAAAAUUUCAUCUCACAGAUCGUGUAGUUAGUUUCCAAUCUCUAAACAUUAUUUUUGAAAAUGACAAAUCUAUAUACAUUUAAUGUAUUUCAGAUUUGGUCGAAUCGACUCUCGUAGAACAAAAAUGCAAUAAAGUUUUGAGACGAAAAGAGAGAGAAAAAAGGUUACACUAUAAACAUAAAAAUUAUUCAGCUUGUUCAAUUGAUUUUUCUUUCCAAAGAACAAUAACUUUUCUGCCCAAAGAAUACUUCUUGCUUCUCUGAACAAUAUUUCACUAUUUGUUUAGAUUCAGAAGGCUAGUUAUAUUCACUAAAAUUAUUUGCAUACAAUCUUGCGAAAAAGGUAGAACAAACAUCACAAUCCUAAAUCAGAGAAUCACACAUCUAGUAUUUUUACUUGGAUGAAUCAUUUUGGACGAAGAUGAAAUUGGCAAUGACAAUAGUACUGACGAUUCCGCCAAGAAUAGCAGCGAGGCUAGUUAACAAACUCCAUUUUCUGUGUGCUAUCCUUUGAUCUUCUUAUUUCAAAACUCUUUAAUCUCAAUAUCUCCAUAUCAUUUGCCCUUGAAACAGGUCCAUUUGAACACGCUGAAGAUGACACAAAUAUAAAUUUUACUAUCAAAAAAUAUCCAUGAAUACAUGAAUAAAUAUCACAAGAUAAACUUAACUAUAGAUACAAAAUAAGAAAAUGAAAAUAUGAACUUCAUUGAACUUGAGUGCAUGAUUAGUAAAUGAUUAUAAAUGUGAAAUAUUCAGUAAAAUUCAAUCAAUUCUAAAUCAUACAAAGUAAAAUGUCCAAUGUUCAAAACCACAUAUAUUGAAAACUUACUAACUUUAAUGUGAAAUAUUCUGCAAAAUUCAAUCAAUUCUAAAUCAUACAAAGUAAAGUGUUCAAUGCUCAAAACCACAUAUAUUGAAAACUUACUAACUUUAAUUUUCUUCUUUUGCGUUCAACCAUGGAUACAAAGUUCAAUGUUGUCUUCUAAGUAAACCAUUNNNNNNNNNNNNNNNNNNNNNNNNNNNNNNNNNNNNNNNNNNNNNNNNNNNNNNNNNNNNNNNNNNNNNNNNNNNNNNNNNNNNNNNNNNNNNNNNNNNNNNNNNNNNNNNNNNNNNNNNNNNNNNNNNNNNNNNNNNNNNNNNNNNNNNNNNNNNNNNNNNNNNNNNNNNNNNNNNNNNNNNNNNNNNNNNNNNNNNNNNNNNNNNNNNNNNNNNNNNNNNNNNNUAUAUAUAUAUAUAUUGAUUCUAAAUAUGAUGUUGUAUGAGAAUGCUUUAUACAAUUAACUAUAAGUAUGUUGCUAUUGUAUGUUGGAUUAUCCGCACUGAAAGAAAAAAUUAAAGUAUGAGAAUAAUUUUAACAAUUAAACAUAAGCAUGGGGCUACUGUAUUCGCUUUUAGUUGUGAGGAUAAAUUUGCUAAUUAUUGUACUAUAAACUAUAAUAAACUAAAUGUAUAAGUAUAAAUUACACGUCUUUCUUUCUAUGUAUUACAUCAGACUUAGACUUAUAUGCAUGAUCUUAUACUCCAAAAACAGCUUCUUGUAUGUAUGAUAAUGUUUUGUAAUUUACAUUCUAUGUAUGAUGUAAUAUGUUGUUGUAUGAGAAGGUUUUAUACAAUUAACUAAAAGUAUGUUUCUACUGUAUAAGUAUGAUCUUACACUCAAACAACAGCAUGCUGUAUAUGCAUGAGAAUGUUUUAUACUUUACAUUCUAAGUAUGGUGCAACAUGAUUUGUUAAAAAAAAAAUUCAGUAAAAAUAUUUCACGUUGUAUGUAUGAUAAUGAGAUACUUUUUUUGCCUAUGUAUGAUGUGAGUGUUAUAUAUUUGAUUUACACUCAAACAACUGAAUGUGUUAUAUGUUGAGAGUGUAUUAGCCUCUUAUUUCAAUGCAUGAUACUAGUUCAUUCGAUUGUUAGAUAUUAGUAAAAACCUGGCACAUUAUUGUAAGAGGGAUUUUAAAGAUAUUGCACAUUAUGUUUAAUAUUUGUUAUUAUAUAUGUAAUUUACACUUUAAGAAAUGGUAUUUACAGUCGAACAACAUUAUGUCUAGGAUAAUUAUCUACAAUAUUGAAUGAAAGUUAGUUUAAGUUACCUCGUCGUUCCAGUAUGUGUUAGGUUGCGACAUCAUGUAGAACUAAUUCUUUGACUGUACAUGUGCAACGAUGAAGUCCACCUCUGGAUAACCUAGGCCGAAAUAAUUUUUCAGAUAGUGAUGUCGGUCUAUUUUCUUUACCAGUAAUCAUGUAUAAAUAUUAGUUGUAAUUUUGUUGAUGUACUUUUAAAAAAAAAAAUAGAUUUCAAAUUUCUUACUUGCCAGCAUGAUACUUCAAUAACCCUUUCUCAAUCCAUUUCGAGCAAUCCAACAUUAAUUUGUUAGGCAAUUCUUGAGCAAUAGUACAGCCAUCGAAGGCAUACUUCUGCUUCUCUUCAUUAUGAGAACUGCCCUCUUCCUUAGAGUUUGACCCAAAUUUUGUUAGUUACAGUGACCUGAAAAUUCUGGACUUUUUCGAUUUCUUUUUACUCGUUCUUUAAUGACAUCACGUUCUCAAACUUGAGCAUCUGAAAAAUCAGAUGGAAACUGACUCAAUUGAAUUCCACAUAAAAGUAUUAGAACUUCAAAAAAUAUGAAAUAAAAUAAAAAAAUAAAGAAAAGGUUAUACAUCAACCUUGUUGAACAUUCCAUCCAUAAAAGACUCAUAUUUAGGCCUCACACACUCUACAGACAAGUUGAAUAUCCUUGAAAUGUUGUUUCUCUAAUGGAGCACAACUUUCUUAUCGAAUUCAGAGCAGCGCUCCAACAUUCAUCCAUUGAGAAUAUGUGGCAUCCCACCCAAGGAGUAUAGUUGUUUUGCGACGUUGAAUCCUAUCGCCAUGAAUUGAUCAACUUCUCAAAUGUAAUCUCUCCUCAUGAAAAAUGCAUGUAACAAUCAUCCUUAAUCAUCUGAAAGUGCGCGAAACUAAUAGGUGCUUCACGAUGUUUAGAAAAUAGAAAAGUAUGAACAAAGUAAUGUAUUGCAAUGUUCAAUGCAUCUUGAGAGUUAUCAAAAUUUUCCAUCUUCAAACGUUGAAUCAAGGCUUGCUUAGUUGUUUCGGCUUUAGCAUUGGGGAAAUACUUCGACAUCAAGGCUGAUUUGUGCGAUGAAUUGUACAUAUAUUCAUCAAUAUUACCGGUACAUUUAAGACAGAUAAUAACAAUAAACUCAAGCAUAGAAAAUCUCAAGAUUUUAUCCUGUACAUAGGCAUGAAUCUCAUCAUGUUUAUCCAGCUGAAUUUCUAGCAUCAUAAAGCAUUUGGAUAUUUGCUCGAUCCAAUUGCACUGGGGCAUGUCGAGAAAUACUCCAAAGAUUGUAUUUCUAAAUGCCCUGUAAAUUUCUUCUCCAAAGUAAGUCUUUAUGUCUUCUCCAAAAUUCCGGUUACACGUGACACUAAUAUAUAAUGGGUGAGCUGGAACCUUGUCAAUACGAUAUUUUAUUCCCUAAAAGAAUAAUAGAAAACAAAAAUUAAGGAUAACAACAUAGUACCAAAAUUGUUUGAGCACCUUCUACAUAUUGUAAAGAAUACCUUACUGUCUGCGUAACAUAACCUAAUACAUAGUUGAUACUUUUUCAGAUAUAUAAUGAAACCUCAUACCUAAAGCAUAUAAUAGAUAACACAAAUUAAGGGUAACAACAUUACAGCAAACCUAUACAUAAUUUAAAGAGUACCUUGCUUAAUGUAUAACAUAGCCUUAUACAUAAUCCCAUACUUUCAAGAGUUAUAAUGAAACCACAUACAUAAUCUUGAAGAUGUAUAACUUAACCUUAUACAUAAUCUCAUACUUUGAAGAUGUAUAAUGAGACCUCAUACAGCAUGUUAACAUGUAUAUGCAAACCUUAUAUUCACAUAAACCUUAUCAAGAUGUUCACAUAAUUGAUACUUUAAAGAUGUAUAAUGAAACCUCAUACAUAAAGCACAUUUUACUCAAUGUAAAUAUAACUUGAUAAUGUAUAAUAUUCAGCUUCCCGUACUGUACAGUUCCACAACAAUGUUUAUCAACGUAUAAUUACCCAUUUACUGAAGAAACUAAAGUAAUUUAAAAACUAUACCUUUGAAAUACGUGGUCGUCCUGAAUCAUUGACCUUCUUCUUACUUGUCGAUUUUGAAGUUGACUUCUUUGAAUUUUAACUGAAAACUUUCCUCAAUUCCUUCAUGGUUAUCGGGUCAUUUUGGUGCUUGGAUCGGUUCUCUGGGAAAUUGAAUUCUUCAUAAUCAAAUGUACCAGGAACAAAAUCAACAACGAAAAUAUUUUGUUCCGACAAUCUAACUGACUAACUCUUAAACUAAAGUUAAGACAAGACUCCAUUACAAAAUCUAUACUUCAAUGAUGAAGCACCUGCAACUAGAAAUUAAAAAAAAACAAAGAUCUAACUUGUAAUGUAUGAAAAAACAUAAAAAAAUUCAUCUAACACAUUGGAUUUACAUUGUAAAAGCAAUUAAUUUCAUAAAUACAUACAUGCAACAAAAAAAUUAAAAAAUUCAAAACUAAUUUUGAUUUGGUAAAGUUGAAAAAAAAAAACUCAAAAGUUAAUUAGUGAUGAAGUUAAUCAGUAUGUACGAUUGUCGUUUGAAAACUUACAAAUUCGAAGCCUCUCAGAGGACGUAGUUUGAUUUUAGGCGUGAAAUAUAGAGUGCAGUAAAGGAGUAAAUAUCGGACUAAACCAUGAGCAAAACACGAGAAUAUUGUGAUGUAUGAGGGAGAGGAGAGAGAAAGUAAAAAAGACAGGGAUUCUAGGUAAUUAAUAUGGGAUUUUUGUAAUUUAUUUUCAAAUAUAAAAUUUUAUGUAAUAAAUAGUACUGUAGUUAACUUGUGUAUAUAUGUAAUUUUUAGUUUAAAUGAACAAUAAAACUAAAAGUCAUGAAUUUGAGGAGUCAAAAUUAAAGAUCAAUCCGAAAUAAGAGCAGCGCAUGCAAAAACUUUAAAAGAAUUUAAAACAAGUUAGAUCUACAUAACACUGUCAAAAAAAAAAAAGAAUUUUGAUAUUAUAUACUUUAAAUCUGAUUUUCCUAUUCAAAGUUAUCAACCAGCGCUUGAUUUUGUUUUAAUUUGACAUGUUCAUCAGGUCAAAGCGAGACACGACUGUAAUAUACAUCAAAAUAUUUAAUAUUUUUAGAAUUUAGCAUGACGCAUGUAAUAUUAUAAUUCAUAUGCUCUAUGAUGAAUUUGACUUUCAUAAUCUCAACGCCUGCCAAUUGUGAUCACUAAUAUUGAUAUGAAUAUCCUAUGCUAAUUGCCAGUGCAACUGCAUCCUACACACGGAGGGUAUGAAAUUUUAGAUUGAUCACUUAUGAACAAAUAUUGAGAUAAGAAUAUUGUAAAAGUGGAUGUAAGACUUUCUCAAGGUGUUUUCAGAUCUCAUUUCGAAAUUUACACUUGUUAGCUACUUAUUUGAUACGAAUAAUAUGUCUACCAUCCACAAAAGUUUUUUUUUUCUUUUGCUAUAAUAACUUAUUAAUAAGUCUUGUUUUUAUAUUAUUUGAUUCUCAAAAUCACCUCUACAAUGUGAUAUAUAGUUGGUUAUCUAUCGGUCCAUUAGUCAGAAAGUAUAAAUGAUUGCAAUAAUUAGAAGCAAGCACAUACAAAAGCAGAAAAUGAAAUAAUGGCCAAAACAAAAAAAAUCAACUCUACAAUGUGAUAUAUAAUCAGCGAUCUAUCAGUCCAUUAGCCAAAAAAUGUAAAUGAUUAUAACAUUUAGAAGCAAGCUCAUACAAAUGCAGAAAAUGAAGUAAUUGAAAAAAAAAAUAUCAUGUGAAUUUAUGAAAAGCUAGACAUAGUUAGAAGUUAAGACCUUAACACAGUUAAAAGUUGUGGCUCGCGAUAAAGCACCAUUUAAUUGGUCAUGGGGAUCUGAAUCUAUAUGGAUCGUGAAAUUUUAAUAGUAAAAGCAGAUUACUAGAUUUUUUUACACUGAAAAGCAGAUUACUAAAAUUUUUUGAACACUGAAAAGCAGAUUACUAAUAAAUUGAUGCUAGAACUUUAAGAUUAGGGGUCUAUAUUAAAGUCCUGAAAGCCAAAUAAGCAGAUAGGUGAAUUUAAGAAUAUCAAACAAAUUAAGAUAUGGGCAAAUUGAAACAGCUAAACUACAAUAAUCAAAGCAAGCGAAGGAGUGGUACUUAUCAAAAUUGAGGAACUUGAUAUGUAAUAGUAAUCAGAACUACACGAAGAGAAACCUGAAAAGAAAUAGAUCAUUAUUAACAAUUUAGCUAACGUGUUAAGCAACCUAUCUUGUGUAUAACAUUUUACUGUUUUGUUGAUCAUGUUUUAGGCUUAUGUAAUUUGAACAAUCAAAUUUUGCGAAAAUAGACAGUCUUUAGUUUCUUAAUAGAAUGUCUAACUGGCACUAACUGAAGUUAAAGCAGGAUAUAAAAGCAAUAUCUUAUGUCCCAAUGAUUGAAGUUUGUAGUAGCUUUACAAUGAAAAUAUAUUAAAGAUAUACUGAAAUUAUUGAAUGAACAGCGCAAUUAUAGACUUUGUCGCGCACAUACAGUCCAUUAAUGAAUCAUGAGAGAGCAGACUUCAAAACGUUGUGUGUUUCAAUUCUUUUAUUCAUGCAUUUCCCUUAUGUUUAUUUCACCCUGGCGGACCCACGUGGUAUCCAUGGGUUCACCCGAACCUCCUCGGUAAAAAAUUACGUUGUAUAUAUAACGUAGAAAAUCUAUAUUUAUGUAUAAAUAUUAAUUUUGAACCACCUGAAAACAAGGUUGUUGGAUAGUCCAUUGGUUCUAUGUCUGCUUCUUGAGUCGCUCCUUCAGCCCUCGGUCGUGGAUUUUGCACAGCUGCUAUAGUAGUUGUCAAUAAAAAAAAAAAAAAAUGCAUGUACAGCUGUUAUACCUCGAUUCCCACUACCAGCAAAGGCUUCUUUUUUUAAAAUUUUAAAAUCUGUUUUGCACAGCUGCUAUAGUAGUUGUCCUGUACAGCUAUAAUAAAAAAAAAAAAAAAAGGACGCAUGUACAACUGCUAUACCUUGAUUCCCACUACCAGCGAAGGCUUCUUUUUUUAAAAUCUGUUUUGCACAGCUGCUAUAGUAGUUGUCCUGUACAGCUAUAAUAAAAAAAAAGACGCAUAGACAGCUGCUAUACCUUGAAAUUAUAUUUUGUUGACGUAUUCACACGUUUAUAUUUUUAUUUUUUCGAACCCUCUGAAAUAAAUUCCUGGAUCCGCCACUGUCAAUGCUAAACAAAUAUUUUUGUUUGAUAAUAUCAAUUGCAUGUUUAAUUUAACUCACUAGGUUCUAAUAUCCAUGCUUUGAUUUGCAAAAGGGAAGCUAACUCAAAUUUCAGAAGUUCUCUACACUGGAAGAUUCUCUAAUUUGUGUUCUUGUCUGAGAUUGUGCCAACAACUAAUGACCAUGCCCUGUAAAUUUGUGUUCAAGAUUCAUAACUUCUAAACGAACAUGAAUUAGCAAUGGGAAAAUUCUGUUAACGUACUAAACAACAAAUUAAAAUCUGUACAUUGCAAAUCCUAUUUGGCGACGGAUGGCAACAAACUAUAUAUCAACAUGUUAUGUGUGUUAAGAGCAACUUAACAACAAACUAGCAACAAACUUCAUGACUAAUUCCAGUUAUUUUUGUAGAGUAAUUAUACAUCCAUAUCGUAAAUUAUAGUAUAUGAGUGUCAAGCUUCUAGUUAUUUUCUUUUUUUCAUCAAUUACCUUGACCUUGUCCAUGAAGAAUUGGCCCAAAUGUGGCCAUUAUACCUCAAAAUACCAUUUCCAAGCAUAGGGCAAGUCUCUUAUGUCAUUAUGUUCACUUAACUUUAUUUUUAUUACGCAAAAGUCAUUUUUCUUUCAUUCAUUAUACAAAAGUCAUUUUACUUUGCUCCGAUCAUCACAAAAGUUACUAUGAAUGGAUUUUACAAUAAUCCCACCGGAAAAAUGAUUUGACAACCUUAAUUAGUUUUAAAUUUUAAUUUAAGAGAAUAAAAUAUAUUGCCACCCUUUUUGUAUUUUCCUAACCCAAUUUUGUUUAUGAAUUAUAUAACGAAAGAAUAGCAAUUUAUUAAUAGAUUAGGUGACCUAGUAAAGACUACUUUCAUAAAAAAAAUUGGUUAAUAUUUUUAUGAAACAUUUCAUAAUAAUGCAUUCAUCUGGCAAAAAGAUGCAUAAAAAAGUAAUAAAUAAGAUAAAUUCUUCAAAACACAUAAAAUAAAAAUAAGUGUAUAAUAUUAUUUUUUUUAAAGAUUAUUUUAAUUCUUUGAAGAGAAAUCAACAUGAUAAAGAUAAUUUUAAAAUAAAACCUUUUUAAUUUAUCAUCAAAUAAGCUUUGUCAAAAUUUAUACAAAUAAUGCUCCUGACAGUUGUGUUAAUAAAAUCAUAAAAUAUAAGUAAUUUAAUAGAUAAAAUAAAUUAUUGGAUAUUUAAUUUUUAUAUUUAUCAAUUGAAUUAAUUAAACAAUACGUAAUUUUUCAGAAACUGAAUAUUAUAAUGAAAACAUCUAAGAGAAUUAACCGAUUAUUCAAAUAAUUAAAAGUACAAAGACAAACUCAAUAGAUAGAGUAGUUUAUCAUAUUAUUAUGAUAUACCGAAUGCAAAGGCCUAAGUGGCAAGAAAAGAAAUGUAUGAAAAAAAUAAUUUUAUCAACUAUAUAUCACAAUUUUAGAGGGAGAAAAUUAAUUUUAUCUGUUGACACCUAAUUUUUGUCCUCCAAAAACAAGUUUAAUUUCAAGUUUCUUCGAUUUUAAAUAAUAUUACAACAUUUAUUUUAUUCGAAUAAAAGCUUUUCAAAGUAUUUAUCUAGAUAAUUUUUCCAUUUUAAGUAACAAUUAUACAUUUUUGUAUUCGUAAUUAUGAAAUCGUAUAAUUUUGUUACUUAAAUAAUUAUUUUAUGAAAAAAAUCAGAUUUUAAUGGAAAGUUAUUUUGGAAAUUGAUUCAAAUGGUUAAACUCUUGAUUUAAAUAUAAUUUACUCUCAAAAUUAAUUUGUUCGAAAAAAUAUUUGUUUGAUUGUUAUUAAAUCAAGAAGCUCGGAAUUAAUUGAUUAUUAAAUUAUAUCACAUGUUGUUUUAAUUUAGCCAAUUUAUUAAAUUAGACCUUAAAUUGAAAUCGAUUCGAUCAUAAUUGCAACACAAUUGGUCAAUUGAAUUUGAAUUAGGCUAAGAUUUAAAUACAAUUGUCUAAAUUUUUUUUUGUUUGUUAUUUAAUAAAUGACCUGAAUCCCUAAAAAAUCCUAAAUUCCUAAAUUCAGCCCCAAUUUCUCCUAAAACCCGCCCCAGGCCUAUUUGUUCAAUAAAACAGGCCCAACACAAUCUGCCAACCCAUUUUUCUUAAACCCAGCAGCCCCCUUUACACUAUUCUCAAUUGGGCCACCAGCCGAAAAUUCUUGUUGACUCGGCCGAAGUUUGAUCGGCUACAACCCAACCCGGCCUGCGUAUACUGAAAAUUUAGCGACAAAUCCCCUAAAUCACGAAAAAAAAAAAAAAAAACUCUCUCUAUAUUAUCUCUGCAAUUUUGCAGACCUAGAGCCAUCCUUUUUGACUUUAUGCUCAAGUUGUGUGUUUCCAAACUCAAAAUUCAAUCCAAAUCGGAAGAUGUCUAUUCAAAUUCGAAUUUUAGGGAUAUGUUUCUCCCCUAUAAGUAGGGAUUGAGGGGAAGAAGGCAGGGAGAAAAAAAGAAUUUUGGGAAAACAAUUGGGGGUUCUGAAGGCGCUUGCUUUUUACCUUACUUAACCAAAAUUCUCGACGAACCCACUCCGAAAAUCGAAUUCCAGCGAAACUGUUGAACUCCGGCGAGGCUAGUUGGCAUUUCGUGAUAUGCUUGUUUGUUUCGUUCGCUGCCCGAAAACAGGUGAACGUUCACCUUCUCGCACCCUCUCUUUGUUAUCUAAUUAUUACGACGCGAAAUCUCAUUACUAAUGGUGGAAUUUGGUUGUUAUUGAAGUAGUUGUCGUUUUGGAAUCUCACACUAGGUGAGAGAUGGGAUUAUGUGUUGUAGAAGGGCUCUCAUGGCCGUAGGAUUUUCAUGUAAUGGAGUUCUAAGUUUUACCUCGAUCGAUUGAGUUAAUAUUUUUACUCUAGCUGUUUCGGUGCAUCGUUUCGCUUAGUGUAGGUUUUAUCUCUUUAAACGCAUUGAUCCAUCUUAGUGUUUCUUUUCUAACAUUCAAGUUAUUGUCUUUGUAGUGUAAGUACUGUUUUGCAGCAAUUUGGAGCCCUUUUUUUUGUGUGUAUUUUUUGUUUUCUUGAUCAUGCUCUUAUGAGUUUGUGUAGUUUGUGUUGUUUGGUUUGUUUGGCAACUAGGCACUAAGGAACUUUUGAAAUCUUGAUUAAUACUGUCCUACACACAUUGUCUUAAAGCUACAAAUUCUGGUUAAAAUAAUUAUAUGUCUAAGCUAUUGAAAGUGAUUUCAGGUGUGAAUUCUUCAUUUACGCAAAAUGUCGUACUAAUAGAAGUAGCUAGCAGGUCCCAAUGUAUAUGAGUUCCCAGGCCAAUUCGAAAAUAUGAUAAAAUUUCAUAUACUCCUAAAGAUAAUAAUCAACCUUUCAAAGUUGAAGUGAAAACACGUGGCUUAAUCAAUCAAAAUGAUGAUUCCUAGCUUCAUUAUAUGUUAAAUUAUAUAGCUUAUUAGCACACCUUAUUUGCUAAACUUUAUUCUAUGUUUGAAAGUUUGUUAAGUGUUUAUGUGCCAUCCAUAUUCCCUUUCAUUAUUGGUAUCAAGUACAUUACCAGCAUUCAAACACAAAAAGAUCUUAGCUCUAGAUAUUAAUUAUUUAGUGUUGUCUAAAGAAUUUGACUAGAUAUUACUUAUUUAAUAUGUUGCCUAAGAAUUUGACUAUUUGGAUAUAUUCUCAUUCUUUUUUCCUUUGUGUGUGCAUGAACUCCUCCGUCGAGUCCCUCGGACUCCCUUCUCUCGCAUUCCGUUGGGUUAAAUCCAACUCGCAUCGAGUCAAGACCCGUGCCAAAAACAAAAUGGACUAAUGCAUGAAGAAAAAUGGGUUGAUACAAAGAUGUAUACACAGAUAUACAGCAGCAUACAUGAGAUAUGCAGUGAAAAACGGGAGGUGAAGUUGGUGUACAGGUGGAAGACCAAAAUAUAUGCAUCAGAUAUACAAAAACGCUGGGAAAAAUAUAUGCAGUAUACAGAUGAUAUACACUGAAAUAAUGGACUAAAGUUCAUGGGAUUUAGGCCCAAAAGCUGGGAAGCCUAUUAAUGGGUCAAAAGGGUCCAAUUUUAACUCUUUCUUUAUUGGAUAAAUUACACAAAUCUCAUACUUAAAGAGAUUAUAUUAGCCUAAUAUCCCUAACUUUUUUAAAAUUUAUAUAAAAUUCCAUUUUACAACUUUACUCUUGAUACAUAUCAAAAAAACCUCACAUCCUAUUUUUACUCCACCAUUAACUCAUUCAAGAUUUCCUUCCCGAAAAUAUCUCUCAAAUUAUCAACAAUUAAAUGAUCUUCCUUUCUGAUUUUUUUCUCCUCCAUUAAUGCAUGCAAUUUUGUUUUUCCUCUCAUUCUUUUUUUUAUAUCUAUUGAUACAUAUAUAAAUUUAUUUAGUUAUUCAUACAUGUGUAUUCUUUUAAUGGUGAUUCAUAUGAAUGAUAAAUAUGAUAUCAUUAUAUGGGUAUUAUGGUGAUUCAUAUGAUAGAUACAUUUUGUGUGAUUUUAACGGGUGAUACAUAUGAUAUUAAUGGGUGAUACAUAUUGUAUUAUGGUGAUUCAUAUGGUAGAUGCAAUUAUUUAUUUCAAUUAUCGGGUGAUUAAUAUAUAUGAUAUAAUGGUGAUUCAUAUGGUAGAUACAAUUAUUUAUUUCAAUUAUUGGGUGAUUCAUAUGAUAUUAAUGGGUGAUAUAUAUGGUAUUUUAUGGUGAUUCAUAUGGUAGAUACAAUUAUUUAUUUCAAUAAUUGGGUGAUUCAUAUGUUAUUAAUGAAAGGUAAUGGUGUAGUCAGUGUAAGAAAUAAAAGUAAUAAUAUUAAAAAAAAAAAAAAGACUAAGAGUAGAAUUGAAAUAUAAUUCAAAUUAAAUCUAAAAAAAAAAAACUAAAAUUAAAAACGAAAAAAAGAGAAAAAAAAUAUCUUUUAUAAUUAAAGACGAAAAAAGAGAAACAUAUUAAAACACCUAAAUUAAAUAUUAAAAAAAAGUGAAAAAUUAGAUAUCUUUCCUUAAAUAAAAAAAUAUAAUGCAUAAAAGAGAAUCUGUUACUUCCUUAAAUAAAUAUCUUGUUAGUUUCAAAUGUAUCACUUUCUUAUAUGUAUCACCAUAUAACAUAUGUAUCACCAUUUCAAAAAAUUGGGAUAAAAUGUAAUUAACAAAAUAGUCGAGAUUUUAUAUAAUAUCACUUAAAGAUUGAGGAAGUUAUGUAAGUUACCCUUCUUUAUUUCUUAUUCUUAUUUAUUUGUAUUUUUUUGAACACUCUAACUAAUUAAUCUAGAUAAAUCACCUAAGGCGUUAUCAUUUUAUUUUAUCACAGCUUUUAGUUAAUUCGUAAUUUCCUCUCCUAAUUUAUCUCGUCUAAAUAAAUUAUAAUGGUUCUUUUGAUUUUUCUUCCUAAAACUAAUCUUACAAAAUUUGUUGAUCAUUUCUCUUUAAAAUGACAUUUGUCUUGUUCAUAUGACUAAUGACUUACAUGGAUUAAAAUAAUUUACUUCAAACCAAGAAAACUAAUUUUUCUCAUAAAUCCUAGUUUUCCAUAAUUGAUAAAAUACUUUUAAUAUGACAUUGCUCUAACAUUUUUUAAAAGUGUUAUCUAUAACAAAAUUGACCCUUUUCUUUUAUGUAUAUAUAAUAAAAGAAAUGGUAAUAAUGAUAAUAAUAAAAAAUAAUUAUGUAGUUUCUUUUUUAUAAAUCAUAAAAACACAAAUUUAUUUCCUUCUUAAAUACAAGUGUGCAACCUAGCUUAAAUAGGUUUCUCUUUAAUUUAAAUAUUUCAUAAUCUUUUCUUAAAGAUAAUUAUGAAUUAAGUAGAAUUUUCUCAAUUUGAAUAUCUCUUUGAUUUUUUUUUUCAAAUUCUAGCUUGUCGUGAUUAAUUAUGAAUUAAGUAAAAUAUUUCUCAGGUAGGAAUAUUUUGUAAUAUUUCUCAAAAAUUAAUCAGGAAUUAAACGAAAUAUUUCGUAAUUUUUUUCAAAAUUAAUAUCGAAUUAAGUAGAAUAUGUUAUAGCUUUUUCUAACUCAAGUAGACUAUUUCUCGUUUGAAUAAACAUGUGUGAAUAAAUAAUUUUAAUAUAUAUAUUUUUUUAAAAUCAAACUUUUCACAAACUUAGUCACUUUUUCUUAGUUAGUAAAAACUGAUCUUUUGGUGAACCGUUUUAAAACAGACGCUCCUAAGUGUUUUAAAAACCUUCUUAGGGCGUUAACUGAACCCUUACUCCGUUUUUCUAAUUUCAAAGAUUCAUUUCUGUUUUUGAAUCUUUGAAAUUCCUUGAAGUUUUUUCUUGAUAUUUUUCUAUAAAAAUCAAGUGGCAACUCUCUAAAUUCUUAAAAAAUUAUUUCAAAAUUUUCUUGAUUUUUUUUAAAUAGUUUGAAAAGAUCAAAAUUAUUUUCUGUAAAAUAAAAUUCGAAAAGGGAUAAAACAGAAAUGACGACUCUGGUGGGGAAUUAUCUAGGUUCUAACCAAAAGGCAUUUUCUAACUUGUUGUGGCUAAUUAUUACGUGUUUAUUCGUUUAAAUUUCAUAUAAACUGUCAUUCCGUUCAUAAUUCUUCCAUUCGAGAAAAUUGACAUAGUCACACGUACACGUGAGGUGUGUUUUGUGCACCCGCAAACUUCUUUCAAAUUUCAAAUUUUAGAAGAGUUGGCGUAUGCGCGGUGUGUCUGGAUCUUUUUUUGUGUGACCGCAUAGCGUUCUUACUCGAGUUGUCCACUCUAAAAUCUUGUGUCAAGCAAGCCAAAUCUUAGAAGAACUUAAGAUAGAGUUUCCCCGAAUAUAGGUCAUGCAUGCAUAAGCCUUAGGUGGUUUGACUCAAGGUGUCAUUCCACACAUUUAGGAAAUGCCCUUAUGUCAAAUGGGUUUACGACCUAACGACAACAGCUCAUAUUAUGUGCAUGUAUAAUGAUAAAUGGAUCCAAGCCUAAUUAUGAUACUGCGAAUUUGGAAAAUAUGUACUUAUUUUGUUGUAUUUACUUGUAGGAUAAAUUUAGUUCCCUGAGUGCCCAAGAUUAGAAUGGUCGAAGGUGUUCCACACAAGUUGAGGAUAUGGUGGAAAAAUUUUAACCCGACUGAAAAAUUAGCGAUCACCAAGAAAUUGGGGUUCCUUCCUACACUCUUCAAGAUCUCCUCCGACAAAUACGUGAUUAGAGCGCUGAUUCAAUUUUGGGACCCUGAUUAAAUUGUCUUUACAUUCAAAGACUUUGAAGUCACCCCUACAUUAGAGAGAUCUAUUACUUCACUAAUAUGAAGUAUCAAGGGAGAGGUCAGAUCAUCUCGCAUAGUCAGCCAGUGAAGAAAUUUCUUCGCUACUCAGGAUUAAAGAACAUUGAUGAACUCUGUUGCUUCGAAAAUAAUUGGGUUUCUUUGGAUUAAUUGUACGAAAGAUACGAUCUUCAAGGUAGUUAUAAGCUAUUCAAGAAGGAGUUCGCUUACACUUUUACCCAUUGGCGGGUUAGACGUCCAAUUGUAUUUGUUGUUGCCUUGCUAGGGACUUUGGUAUUUCCACAAAAAUAUGGAAAGAUCAGUACUUUCGUAUGUUCUGUGGCUCGAGUACUUUUUAAAAGAGUUAAUGGCGUGGAAAUCACCUUGGUUCCUAUGAUCUUGGCGGAAGUAUUUCGCGCACUUGGAAAAGUGUAAAAGAGGUGAAACACAGUUCUUUAAAGGUUGCAAUCUCCUUCUGCAGAUGUGGGCAAAAGUGCAUUUCUACAAGCGUGACAAUAUGACUGACAUAAUGUUUAAUGCUUAACAUAAGAUUGACACUCAUGAUGACAGAAUGAGGAGGUUCGUUUCCCCGAUCGAUACCGGUGAUUUGUUUGAGUUCUUAGCCUCUCGUACCAGUGACCAAAUCUAGUGGAGAUAACCACUACUGUCAUGUUUCAUGGCUUACAUACGAUGCAGAGGGAUUUAUUAUAUUGAGCUUAUUAGAUUAAGAGUUCUACAACCAUAUGCCUCGGUGCAUGUACUCCGAUAGUUUGGUCAGACAUAGAUUAUCCCUCUCCGAGAAAAUAUGCGACUUUCGGAAGUCCUUUUUGGACUAGACUUCAGAAUUCCUAGGGCCAGUCAAAUUCUGCAUGAAUGGAGUAACAUUCUCACAAUAGAUGUGAGACACUGACCAACAUAGUGUAUUCCAAAAUACCAGGUAUGGGUUCGAGAAUAUUGUGGCGAUAUAAAACCUAGUUCAGAAGGGGAACAAGGUUUUGAGAAUGUUGGGAUGACUAUUUGGAUAAGACAUUUUUGUCUUGGAACCACAGUGGUCACGCCUGAAAUGUGGGCUCAAAUGUCCAACAUAAUGCAGUAUUUGGAAAAUAUAGGAGCGGGGCCCAGCAAUGUUGAGGCAUUAUCUUCACGUCCUCCACCGGAAUGAUCAGAAACGGGGUCUAGGCUAAGUUUUAGGACUGUCUUUUUCAUAUAUUUUUAUCUUGUUUCUUAUCGUUGUACUCGAUUAAUAUUUCAAUGAAACUUGGUUCCAAACUCAAAGUUUAUCUCAAAUUAAUGGCUUGGAUCAAUUUAUCAUAAUCUCAAUUACUUGACGCUAGGCCAAUCCUUGGCUCAAAAGGGCCACCCAACUAGGACACGCUAUUUACUAUUCUAUUAUUAUGUGAUAUAAUUAUCUUACGUGAUAUAACUGUUUAUGUGCUAUGUGCGUUGUUAAAUAAAAGGUAAAUUGAUCCAUUCCUCAACAAGUCCUUAGAAAAAUACUUUAGCCAAAAACAUACGUCUACUAUGUAAAGUCCAUCCAAAAUAUUCCAAGUCCCUAGGUUUCUCAAAAGCCCUUAACCAAUCUUCACUACAUUUUCUUUCAAACGCAUUUCUAUUCUGUCGGAAAAUCGGUCAUGGACUCAAGAAUUCUUUCUUAGUCGAACUAUGUAUGGCCCAAUUUCUUCUUUGUGAGAUACAUAGGCAGCCUUUUGGCCCGGCCUCUAUACUUUAAAAUUAUUAUAUCUCGUUUUACCGAGGAAAGUCGUACAAUUCCAAAAUCAGUAGAUUUGGCAAACAUCUUGUUAAGACCCAUUUAUUCAAAAUUUGAUGGACAAAGUCCUGCCCGUUAAUUUCUUUCGAGUCAAUACCCAUUCGUGGAUCAAUUUGCCUAAGAUGAAAGCAACGUUAUGUGCUUACUUUAUAUCAAAUAUCUUGCAUUUACUUGUCACUAAUGGUAUCUAACAUAUUUUCCUUUUGAGUUGUUUUUACUUUAAUAGGUAAUCAAGUAAGUAGAAAUUGAUUUGUAUUGACAAAAUUUAAUUGAACAUCAAUACUUCCAAGGCAGAUAAACAUUCCUUCCUUCAUUGUCACUUAAUUACUAAAGAGGAAGGAAUGACUAGUAAUAGUGAUGAAAAGUCAAAGAAAUUACUUUCGCUUUACCAGUCAUUUCCUAUAUCUGUAAAGCUACAAGUAAUGGUCUCAAAGAUAGGGAACUUGUUCAAAAAGUGGGAUGCUAUUAUAGAAGAUUGUCUUGAGAAGACCAAGAUCAAGAAAGAUGAAUUAGGGAAAAGAUGUCAAAUUGGACUUCCACUUCAAUCAUGACUCCCCGAUUGAUAUGGUAGAUGAAAGGAAGAGAUUUAGCUUUUGCAAAAUCGGUGGUUGUCUGAAUGAGGCUCGAGACCCACCCUUUAAGUUUUAUUUACCUUAUUUUCACUUUUUAUGUUUUUCAAAAGGCUCAAACCCACACUAGUAAUGAUCUUAUCCAGUGUCUGUAAUAUUUGAAAUUUCAAUAAAAGCCUCUCUUAUUAGAAAAAUAUUUUCACUUAUUUUGCUGCACUAUACGAUCAUUGUAAUCUAACUUAUGAUUUCAGCAAUAAUUUAAAAGCGGCCAAUGUCAUGUCAUGUCAAAAUCUAAAUAAAUGAAUCGAAGUAAAAUGAUAAUGAGUGAGAGGACUAUGAUGAGGAAACAAUGGCCCCAGACCGAUUAACAGAGGAACUAAAAGAUUUUGGGGAUCGAGAAAAUCCCAACCUAGAGGAAACUGAGGUAGUUAAUCUAGGUGAUGAUGGCGAAGUUAAAGAAACCAAAAUCAAUGUUCAUCUUGAAGAAGCACAGAAAAAAGAACUCAUUAGGUUGCUUAAAGAAUACAUUGAUAUAUUGGUUUGGUCUUAUGAUGACAUGCCAGGAUUGAGUACAAAUAUCGUAUCACACAAGUUGAUUCUAUGAAGCAAAAGUUACAAAAGUUUAAGCCAAAUCUAAGUCUGGAAAUCAUGGAAGAAGUCACUAAGAAGAUCCAAGCCAACGUGGUUGAGGUCACAAAAUAUCCAACAUGGCUAGCUAAUAUUGUUCCAGUACCUAAGAAAGAUGGAAAGGUCAGAAUUUGUGUCGAUUAUAGGGACUUGAACAAAGCCAGUCCUAAAGAUAACUUUCCAUUGUGUAAUAUCCACAUUCUCAUUGACAACUGUGCAAGUCAUGAAAUGGAGUCGUUCGUGGAUUGUUUUGCCGUCUAUCAUCAAAUAUUGAUGGAUGAAGAAAAUAUAGAGAAAACAGUUUUCAUCACACCUUAAGGUGUUUAUCACUAUAAGGUGAUGUCCUUUGGUCUCAAGAAUGUCGGUGCUACGUAUAUGAGAGUCAUGACGACCAUAUUUCAUGAUAUAAUCCAUGAGGAGAUUGAAAUAUACGCGGACGAUGUGAUCAUCAAGUCCCACAAACGUUCAAACUACUUGGCCCACUUGAGAAAGU